UUUUCUGGCACGUGCGUCGCCGCACCUGCACACCUACGUCACAGGAAGAACUGCACGAGCACCAAGAUGACCAGAAGUCCCAACCUGCAGUACAAAGAACAACAUAUCCAUUGAUUGCGUACAGUCCGGAGGCUACUUGCUAGAUGCUUUCCUCAAAUACACACAUUAUACUGCAGUUGUAGAGCGUCCUAUCUAUCAUUAAGGACACAACACAGGCAACUAAAGUCCUGAAGAAGCCAAGGUCAUCUUACCUCAUGAUCAACUUAAGUACGUCAUUAACGAGGGUGUAGGUGUUCUUCUUGUUAACACCAGUAUUUAGUAUAGUUCAUUUACAGUGUCACACCAACACAGAAACUGAUAUUCCACUAUGCCAGUGUAAACACGAACGAUAUACUACUCUUUCAUACAGAACAAGUAGAACAAUGGUUAUAAUCUAGCAAUAUUAAAUGUCAGUAUUUAAAUUUUAUGUUCAAGUAAAAAAAACAUUAAAUAGAUAAUGUUUUUGUGUGACUAUUCCAAUAUACGUAAUAAUAGUAAGAAAAUGUGUACGAGUGAAGUAAAUAAAAGUACAAAUAUACAUAGUAACAACAGUACAAUAAGACUUAUUCAAAGUUAUAGUACUUUACAAGAAUACCAGAGUAAUAAUGCAAUCGUAAUUAUGAUUUAUAUUAUCGAUAUUUUAUGAUCUUAGACUACAUUAUUUAAGAGCUAGAUUGUUAAACUGAGCGUCAUAUCAGAUAUUACGUACGCUACAGGAAUUUGCAGUUAAAUAUAAUUAGUUUUAGAAGUUCGAUAAAUCAUUAUGUGUAUUGAAUCCCACCUUAAGUUAUUAUGUAUAUAGUCCUCAAGAUACGAGUUUGUUUUAAAUUAGAGAUCAGUCACGUUAAUAAAGUUUUAUAUCAAAACUGUUA